rnacentral:lncRNA from 1 species
GUACAUUUUAAUGGAAAACAGGCCAAAAAUAUUUAGGCAUUUUAUUAAUUUCAGCUGCAAACCAGAACACUGUGCAAGAAGAGUUUUUCAUGAAAGGAUACAUCAAGAAGCCCUUAAUUUUUGCUUUUAUUCUUUUAUUGAUCGCAUAGCAACAGCAAUCAGAGGAAGGAUAAGAGGAUUCCAUACACAGGUUUAAUAUUUCCAUGGCCAAGGCAAUCUGAUAUUCUGGCAUUGCACCAGUACGUGUGCAGCUGUAUUUGCAAGUUUAAAAACCAAACCCAAAGUAAAAUUGAUAAAUUGAUUUGUAGUAUAAAUUGUGAAUAUAAUACACUGACUGAAAUAGCCAUGUAGGUUUUUCCUAUGCCUUGUAUAUAGAAAAUAUAGUCCACCACAGACGCAUAGUUUAACUGUUGUGCACAUAAAAUCCAACUUCAUUAGUCUAUCAAUAAGAUAUCCAUCACAAACAGGACAUAAAACGCUCCAACCAUGUAGCCCAUGCCAAUCUAAGUGUUUUAUAGCACUCAAAGCAAGAAAUGGAUACACCAACGUGGGCUACGGGAUCUAAUUUAUUGUCCUGUUUGUGACAGAUAUUUUAAAGAUGGAUUAAGAACACUGAAUUUUAUGUUAAGUUCACAACAAUUGAGAAAUUUGUCUAUCACAGACGAUAUUUUCUGUAUACAUUGUUGUAUUUUUUUUGUGGGAAGGACCACUAAUUUAGCUCCAGGAUGGAGAUUCGGUGGAAUUGGAUUUAAACAUCAACACUGAUCAAAGUGUGAUUACUCCUUAAAAUCAAGAAUGUAUUGUUACUGGUUCUAGUUUCCACCACCCCCCCCUUCUCCUAUGCCAUGCCACAAAGCAUGACUCAAAUACAUCAAUCUAUUUCUGUACUCAUACGGAGUAGCAAAUGUCCCAUUUUUAGAGUUUUUUCACAAAGAUCCGUGGGAUUGUUAAAAAAACAAAAAACGGAAACACACCAAUCAUUACCUCACCAGACUCUGCAUUGUAUCAUCUCAGAACUAUAAUCUAAUUGUGACAUUUCACAAAUUCCAAAGUGCAGUCCCGGAAAUUAACUUUAAAAUAUAUAUAUAUAUGAUUAAUGUUUUUCUGCUCCUGAUCUAAACCCCUUAUAUGUAAUAUUUAACAGACCCAAAGCUAGUACAUUGAAAUAGAGAGGAGUAAAAUGGUUGUAGCACAUGGAAUUCCCACUUGUCGCCCCUAUAGUUUUGGAAACCAUAGACCAUUUAGAUUCACAUAUAAAAAGCACAUCAUCAGAAGCAACUCUGGGGCAACAUUCUAAAAGUGGUGCACUCACUAUCAAAACCAUUGUACUUAUCUGUUGCCUUUUACAAGAGCUGUAAGACAUACACAAAGUGUAUCAUGGCCUUCUCUCUUUUCAGACUUUGAAUAUUGCUCACUUGACUUCAACCCCCUUAAGAACACAAUUAAUAACCCAUUAAAGAUUGCAAUCUGCUCUCUUUAAAGACCCUCUGGUACUAUGGCAUGACCUGCUUAUUUUAUUCCACUUUGAUACAAAUCAUCUUUUUAAAGACCCUUUUUAUUUUUCUAUUUUGGGUGUCAUUUAUAUUUAUGUGUGUCAUUUUUUUCUUGUCACUCAGCAUUUCCUAUAGAACAGUAUAGCGGUAUAACAAAACAAAAAGUUCUGUUAGUGUCAGAAAACAGUGGUUCCUAAAUCCAUUUGAUGGCAUUGUGCAGAGUAAAAUAUAUAGAACAUCUACAUUUUCUAGGUAAAAGGCAAAACUUUUUAAAGUCCGCAUAUUUUAAGAUUUAUAAAAUAUUGAAGAGAAGCAAUCGUACUUUUAGUUUGUCACCCACCUUUUGUUUUCUAGACAAAUUGUGGUACAUGACAAUGGAGAUCUUGUGGUAUACUUGCAUAUUAAAAACAAAAAAAACCAAACACAGUGACUGACAGAUUGUGACAAUUCACUCUUAUAAUAGGUCUAAUUUAUGGCCAAGAGGAAAGAAAAAGCAAUAUAUAAAUAUUCUUAGGCUUUGCGCGCAGCGUUGCCAGAGUGAUAUAAACUCCAGCCACAAUAAUAUCCACCAAGAAGGAGCACAUCACUGGUCUAACGCAAAAGACAAUAAAACUGAUUUUCUUAGAAUAUUAUACAGGUCAAUAUUUCCAACCACCAUGACUACUUCAGUGAUUUGAAGUAGUCCUGGUGGUAGUAGUAUGUAUGUGCAGGGUUUCUGCUUGAAACAGUGCACACAUGGGGUUAGAUUUUUGGGGUUACUCGGACCCUCAACACAUGUUAUUAGACAGCACACAACACUGUUCCGGGCUGCCUAAAGUCAGUUCUGCACUUAUUUUACGUCUGUUGUCAGACUUAAAAAUCUUACAGUACUCUAUAUCUGGCCAGUUCCCCAAAAAUAUAAUUUUACAUUAGGACUAGGACAAUGAUAAAACACUGGUUCCACUUAAAAGCCAGAUGGACAUGUGAAAUCCACAUCAAUGUGAGAAAAGUUCCUCUUAUGAAAGCAGAGUUUCAAUAUGCCUACACAUUAGAACAGGAUGUAUGUUUAUAACCUUUGAAGGUUGGAAAUGUGCACUAACAGGCAAUACUAUCUUCACAUAGCAAACAUGAAACCAUUCACUCUGAGAAAACAUGUUGCUUACAGACUGUAUCGUAGCCCAGGAAUGAGAAUUACCCCCAUGAUGGCAUACCAUUUGCAAAUGAAGACAACCCAGGGUAUUCAAUAUGGGGUAUGUCCAG